UUUCAUGCAAGAAACACACAAAUAUCUGUCUCUCUGGAAGGGCGUGUCAGCUUCUCAAGCUUUGACAAUGGCGGCAAUGUUGGAAGCAUCAUUGGCGACCCCAUUCCUCUCUUCAAAGCCUCACACUCACAACACUUCAAAGCUUCAACCAUUCCCCUCAAAACCCACCUUUCUCACCCUUCGCAGUUCCCCCAGUAGCAUCCACCCUCCUUCAUGUUCUCGAAAUGAUGCUACUGUUUCACCUCCCCUCCAAAGCCCCGACCCGGAUGCAAAACCCGAAAUCGACCCGACCCGGGACCGCCGCAGAGUCGUCAGGGUCGCCUGGGAGAAACUGGUGCGGUGGUCAAGAUCAUUGCGCUCUAAGUCCAACACUGACGUGCUUGAACGCACCAACAAGGUAGUUGUGCUUGGAGGGGGGUCGUUUGGGACCGCAAUGGCUGCUCAUGUUGCAAAUAGAAAGGCUCAGCUAGAAGUCAACAUGCUUGUUCGGGAUCCUCAAGUUUGCUUGUCAAUCAAUGAGAGACACUGCAAUAGUAAUUACUUCCCAGAUCACACUCUGCCAGAAAACGUAGUUGCAACAACAGAUGCGAAAUCUGCUUUGCGUGAUGCAGAUUACUGCCUUCAUGCAGUGCCUGUUCAGUUCAGCUCAACUUUUCUCGAGAGCAUUGCAGAUUAUGUUGAUCCAGGUUUGCCUUUCAUAUCUCUCAGUAAAGGCCUCGAGCUGAAUACACUAAGGAUGAUGGCCCAAAUUAUUCCUCAAGCACUACGAAAUCCUCGGCAGCCUUUUGUUGCACUGUCAGGGCCUUCGUUUGCUCUCGAAUUGAUGAAUAAGCUACCCACAGCGAUGGUGGUGGCAUCAAAAGACAAAAAAUUGGCAAAUAGAGUUCAGCAGCUCCUAGCUUCAAGUCAUUUAAGAAUAAGCACAUCAAGUGAUGUUACAGGAGUUGAAAUAGCAGGUGCACUCAAGAAUGUGCUGGCAAUAGCAGCAGGGAUAGUGGUAGGCAUGAAUCUUGGUAACAACUCUAUGGCUGCUCUUGUCUCGCAAGGUUGUUCAGAGAUACGAUGGCUUGCAACAAAGAUGGGUGCAAAGCCAACUACGAUAACUGGUCUGUCAGGAACUGGAGACAUAAUGCUUACAUGCUUUGUGAAUCUUUCAAGAAACAGAACAGUUGGUGUGCGUCUCGGAUCGGGCGAGAAGCUCGAGAACAUACUUAAUUCCAUGAAUCAGGUAGCAGAAGGUGUCUCCACAGCUGGAGCUGUGAUUGCUUUGGCGCAGAAAUAUAACGUGAAGAUGCCAGUGUUGACAGCAGUUGCUCGUAUUAUUGACAAUGAACUUACGCCUAAGAAAGCUGUUUUUGAGUUAAUGAGCCUCCCUCAGGUUGAAGAAGUAUGAAACCUCCCAUCAUAGCUGCUUUUUAGAUGCUGCUUGAAAGGCAUUCUUGUAGUCGAUUCUUUUCACCAUUGUGCUUCUAAUGUUGAAGGCUUGGUGCAUUCAAGAAUGUGCUGGGAAUAGCAGCAGGGAUAGUGUGGAAGCCUGGAAGGCAUGAAUCUUGGUAACAACUCUUGUCUCGAUCGCAAGGUUGUUCAGAGAUACGAUGGCUAGCAACAAAGCUACCAGGCCCUUCAGCGUUAUUGUGUUAAUACUAUGUCGCACUAGACAGAUUUGCUUCAAAUUACCAUUGAUUUAUCCCCGGUUAGGGAAUAUGUACUGCUUCAGCUAUCAGUCUGGCGAAUUGGAGCAUCUGAUGAAUGUAUGAUUACCAAGCAUUUGUGUUCAUUAAUCUCUGUUUACUAUGGUUAAAUGAACGUGUAUUUCCUCAGUGUUCUGGAUUUCAUUUUCUUGUAUGCUAUGUUAACUGCCACCUCUACGAAGGAUGUUGUUAUCCUCAUGAUAUACAAUUAUCUAUAGUAAUCUUGUUGCAACUUAUAGUGAAGAUGGCACAAUGAA